rnacentral:tRNA from 1 species
AGCCCUGAUAGUUUUAUGGUUAAGGUGUUCGAUUCACAAUCGUUCAUUCCGGGUUCGAGUCCCCGUGGGGGGCUG